rnacentral:rRNA from 1 species
UACGGGGGGAGCAAGCGUUGUUCGGAUUUACUGGGCGGAAAGGGCGCGUAGGCGGCACCGCAAGUCGACUGUGAAAUCUCCGGGCUUAACUCGGAAAGGUCAGCCGAUACUGCGGGGCUAGAGUGCAGAAGGGGCAACUGGAAUUCUCGGUGUAGCGGUGAAAUGCGUAGAUAUCGAGAGGAACACCUGCGGCGAAGGCGGGUUGCUGGGCUGACACUGACGCUGAUGCGCGAAAGCUAGGGGAGCGAACGGG